CGGCAGCCGUCAGAAUCAUGGUUGACCGCGGCUGGAUACAGGUGUUGCUGUUGGCGUCUGCCGGUUUCGCGCUGGUCAGGUGCGAUGACGACAAGACGAUAGUCAGUGCCCGCAUUGAUAGUUGCAGCGGGUGACGUCUGAACGGCCUGGAGGAUGUUAAAGCAUUCGUCCAGGAUCAGUUCCGUUUCUACGAGAAUGUGGAGUUCGUCGAGAAAUCUGGCGAGGACCCGUUCUUGUUGUUCCUCAACAAAGAUGGUGAAACAGUGGAGAAACACGCCCUAGAGUUCCUGAAGGGCCCAGCCAUUCACACUCUGCUCCGUACCAGAGGUAUCAAGAAGCUGGCCAACCCAGGCAAGAAGCCAACGCUAAAGGGUUGGGACAAGCUUUUCGACGCGGAAGGCAAUUAUAUUUUCCCGGACGAACCACCGUCUUCUUCUUGGGACGACAAGCAAGCCCAAGACGAUAAAGACGAGUUGUAAGUUCUGGGCGUACAUGCCUGGAACAAGGCAGGUUAUUCUGUUGUGGAAUAUGAAAACUUUUGCAUAUAUCGCCACAUCCAUCAUCUGUCAUCAGGACCGCUGAGGGGUGACAGCCAGAAUAACCUACCGAGUCUUCAUUUCAACUUCUCCCUCCCUACCAGAAUGUGAGCGUUGACCUCAUUGACCUCAAUGACCUCUGCCACAAAUCCUCCAGCGUCACUGUCUUCUAACAAAAUCCUUUCUUCUUUCUAAUCAUGGUCGUAUGAUGGCAGCACCCGAAAUCUUACAGGGUGUCGCUUGAUCCUUUGCUUGUUGUUAGUCAGAAAUCAAGUGUUGAGUUGGGAUUCAGAGGCUGGGCGGGUUUUAGAAAUGAACACAUGUAACCCCCAUUGUUGCAACGACAUUAUAUGAAUAUGAUAUAGAUUUUAAUAGUUUUGAAAUAAACCCACUUUAUAAUCCUA